AAUAAGAGUGGUAACACGGAUAAAAUUCGUCUCU
rnacentral:sRNA from 1 species